CUGCUGACUUGAGCAGCACAUAUACUAAAAUUGUAACAAUACAGAGAAGAUUAGCACAGC
ensembl:snRNA U6 U6 spliceosomal RNA